rnacentral:tRNA from 1 species
GCGUCCGUAGCUCAGUUGGUUAGAGCACCACCUUGACAUGGUGGGGGUCGGUGGUUUGAGUCCACUCGGACGCACCA